rnacentral:rRNA from 1 species
UACGUAGGUGACAAGCGUUGUCCGGAUUUACUGGGCGUAAAGAGCGCGCAGGCGGUCGAUCAAGUCGAGUGUGAAAGCCCCCGGCUCAACUGGGGAGGGUCAUUCGAUACUGAUCGACUCGAAGGCAGGAGAGGGUAGUGGAAUUCCCGGUGUAGUGGUGAAAUGCGCAGAUAUCGGGAGGAACGCCAAUGGCGAAGGCAGCUCGCUGGGACGUUACUGACGCUGAGACGCGAAAGCGUGGGGAGCAAACAGG